rnacentral:rRNA from 1 species
GAUGAACGCUGGCGGCGUGCCUAAUACAUGCAAGUCGAGCGAACAGACGAGGAGCUUGCUCCUCUGACGUUAGCGGCGGACGGGUGAGUAACACGUGGAUAACCUACCUAUAAGACUGGGAUAACUUCGGGAAACCGGAGCUAAUACCGGAUAAUAUAUUGAACCGCAUGGUUCAAUAGUGAAAGACGGUUUUGCUGUCACUUAUAGAUGGAUCCGCGCCGCAUUAGCUAGUUGGUAAGGUAACGGCUUACCAAGGCAACGAUGCGUAGCCGACCUGAGAGGGUGAUCGGCCACACUGGAACUGAGACACGGUCCAGACUCUUACGGGAGGCAGCAGUAGGGAAUCUUCCGCAAUGGGCGAAAGCCUGACGGAGCAACGCCGCGUGAGUGAUGAAGGUCUUCGGAUCGUAAAACUCUGUUAUUAGGGAAGAACAAAUGUGUAAGUAACUAUGCACGUCUUGACGGCACCUAAUCAGAAAGCCACGGCUAACUACGUG